rnacentral:rRNA from 1 species
CAAUAGCGUAUAUUAAAGUUGUUGCAGUUAAAAAGCUCGUAGUUGGAUUUCUGGUUGAAGCGACCGGUCGGGCGUUGAUUCGUCUGCACUGGAGUCGGUUUUGGCCAUCCUCUAGGAAAGUGCGUCUGGUAUUAAGUUAUCGGGCGUAUGAUCCUGGUCUUUUACUGUGAAAAAAUUAGAGUGUUUAAAGCAGGCCUUCGCCUUGAAUACAUUAGCAUGGAGUAAUAAGAUAGGACUUUGGUCUAUUUUGUUGGUUUGCAGACCGAAGUAAUGAUUAAUAGGGAUAGUUGGGGGUAUUUAUAUUCCGAUGUCAGAGGUGAAAUUCUUAGAUUUUCGGAAGAUAAACUUAUGCGAAAGCAUUUACCAAGGAUGUUUUCAUUAA